rnacentral:rRNA from 1 species
GACGAACGCUGGCGGCGUGCCUAAUACAUGCAAGUAGAACGCAGUUUCGAACGGGUGAGUAACGCGUAGGUAACUGCCUCAUAGCGGGGGAUAACUAUUGGAAACGAUAGCUAAUACCGCAUACUGUGAGAUGGACCUGCGUUGUAUUAGCUAGUUGGUGAGGUAACGGCUCACCAAGGCGACGAUACAUAGCCGACCUGAGAGGGGGAUCGGCCAGAUUGGGACGGAGACACGGACCAGACUACUACGGGAGGCAGCAGUAGGGAAUCUUCGGAAAUGGAAGGAAGUCUGACCGAGCAACGCAGCGUGAGGGAAGAAGGUUUUCGGAUCGUAAAGCUGUGUUGUUAGAGAAGCGGUAACUAACAAGAAAGGGACGGAUAACUACGUGCCAGCAGCCGCGGUAAUUC